rnacentral:lncRNA from 1 species
UGUUUCUUAACAUCACAUGUGAGUACUUAGUUUUUCUCAACACAGUUUCAUCAACAAAACGAUAGGCUAAGUAACCAAGUGAUAGGCAUGACAUUACAUUCACCAUAAAAGCUAAAUAACCAAAUGAUAGACACCCAAUUCCAUUGACCACAUAAACUAAAUAACAAAAUGAUAGGCAUGCAAUUACAGACUCCAAAUAUGCGAAAUGUUAGGCAAACACAUCAACAACAACAAAAGUAGGCCCACACUUUUCACUUCUUAUUCCCCUCCGCAACAGCAUUUCCUUUACGUAGUUCACGGAAAUAUCCACAUCUUUCUCGUGGCUUAGGUGACACAUGGUUUGGAACACACCAAAUAUAUCUUCAUCUAAUUUGUUCGCCAAAGGCUUAGUAGAUGUACUGCAAACAUUCUUUGAUUCACCACUUGUUUCUCCUACUUUAAACCACUUCCAAUAGCCAGAGUUCGCGCUGCAACAAUUGAACCAUUUACGUUUGUGCUCCGUAUCCUUCUCCACCUCAAAACAUUUUACAAAUGAAUGUUUGCAUGAUGGGCAUGAUCGUUUAUUUGGGAAAUCAACGAAGAGGUGACUGCUACACUUACAACUAUGACAUACUCCAUGAUUUCUCCCGCCUAUUACAAGCUGCCCCUUAACCUCGAAGAGAGAAUGAACAAAACAAAAAAACAAUUACAUAACAAUGAGCAUCAUAGCCUCGAUUCAAUCUCACAAAUUUUAUAUUACAAAUUUACAUCAUAGUCUUAGUUCAAUGAACAAAGCCUCAGUUCAAUCUCACAAAUUUCAUAUUAAAAUAUACAUCAUAUCCUCAAUUCAAUGAACAAAUGAACAAAACCAAAAAAAAAUAAAAAAAAUAAAUACAAUUUUGAAGACCUUCAUAUGUACAGUGUAUCAAAUUUAGAUAAAUAAUAAGAUGGGCUUUGAGCAAUUUGUUUAUAUAGCCUACUUGUGUGUUAUAACCCACUCACUCAUAGUCAAAGUCAAGAAAAUUAUUUAGUCAAAGUCUAAAAUUCAAUUGGUCAAAGUCAAUGUCAAAUACGGAUUUAAAUGAAAUAAAUUAUUUUAUUGGGGGUUUAAUUUAUUAUGAAAAAUAGUUAAAGGCUUAAAAUGGAUAAAACUUAAUUUUAGGGAUCUAAUUAUAUAUUAUUGGAAGUCAAGGACUAGAUAUUAUAUUAAAUUGAAGAAUAAGGACUUCCUUUGCAAAAAUAAGUUAGUGGAGUCCAAAUGUCCACAUUCUAAUCCCUUUGCCUUGACUCUUCAUUUGCAUCCAUAUGUAUAGAAGAAUUGGAGACGGCACGGAAGAAUCCGAGAGAAAGGAAGAAAAAAAAAAGAGAGAGGAAGAAGAAAGAAGAAAAAAUAGAAAACUUUUGUCAAGUUGUUAGAAAAUAAGUGAUCUACUCUAUUAGGCUUGAAUUCUUCAAUUUUGAAAUGUAAGUAUAAAGUUACUUAUUGUCAAGUUGUGUUUAAUUUUAUAGUUGUUAGAUUGUUAGAUUAAAUUCAAUUUUAUUGAAGGGGUUAAGUGUAAUAAACUAUGAAAUUGAGUAAGAUGAAAGAAAAAUUAGUUUUAGUUAUUAAAGAGACUAUAGAAAUCGCCCAAACGUAAAAUUAUUAAGUUUGGGUAUCGCCUAUUUAAUUAUUGAAAUUAUUGAAAUUAUUUAUUUAUUUAUUUAAAAAUUAUAUCGUAUUUCAGGCGACGACACUGACAUCAGAACAGCUUACCAACCGGGUUGAUUUUUCGAACAUAAUACUGUGAGUGAAAAAAUAUAAAUAUUUUUAAAGUAUUUAUAAAUUAAGUAUAUUGUUAAAGUAUGUGCAAUUAUAUGCAAUUAUGUGUUCGAAUCACAUGGUUAUUAUGAAAAUAUCUUUUAUUAUGAUACAUGUGGAAUUUCAAGGAUUAUUUAUUGUACGUUUAUGACUUGGUAUAUGAGACAUGUGAUAUUGAGAUUUGUUUGGUAUGUGGGACGUGAUAUUAAGAUCGACCAGAAAAGUACCCGUAAUUAUGUACUUCUUCUAGUUCAUAGAGUGACCUUGGCCGUGUUCUAUCAUAUACGAAGGGCUUGACCUGACAUUGGUCUCGAUCUUAUACAUAUAGUUCACAGAGGAGCAUUGACCGUGUUCUAGAAUUGAUUAUGAGAGGUCUUUGAGAUCGACUUUCGUUCACGGAGGGGGCCCAAAGGUCCGUGGCAAAAGUUCUUAGCUCGAGAGGCGAAUAAUGUAUUUCAGUUAGAGGGUACAUUUUAGAUGGAUUUUUCAGCACGUUUGAUGUGAUGAGAUUAUAGCAUGAUUAUCAGCUGACGUUAUAUCAUGAUUUUGAGAUGAUAUUUUACGACCUUAUGUGAAUAUUUCAUUUUUGAUUCUAAUUACAUAAUGUUAUCUUGUGAAUUAUUAAAUGAUAUGAACUCGAUUUUCGAUAGAAAUGUAAAGUUGAAAAAGUAUAAUUAUUUUCGAACUUCUCCACUCACUGAGCUAUCAACUUAUAUAUUUUCCCACAAUUUUUCCUACAGGUAGCAAUUGAUUAUUUUUAGUUGGAAGAGUCUAAUGAUUUCAGAAUGAGAGCCACACGACAUGUUGAAUAUUAUAUAACUCAUAUUGAUGAAGCACGAAGUAAAUAUUUUGGGCUCAUCGCAUUAUAUUUUAUAUAAGCAUUUGAUUUUGUUGCAUUUUAUUUUAAAUAACUCACAGUCAGCCUUGGUGAUAGAUUUGACAUCUAGUCAGCAUCUAUUAUCGGCGCACGUCACGUUUCAAGUCCACUAGGGUGAUUCGGGACAUGUCGUAUCAAAGUGGUAUCAGAGCAUGGUUUUGAAAAUUUUUAUGGUUCAUGCAUGUUCAGUGGAUAUGAUCACAUAUCGUGGUGGCAGAAAUCACAGGCUCUCUAACUCAAAUGCAUAGAACAAAAAAAUGAUAGAAAGAUAUUUUUUAACAGAUCCAAGAAAGACUAGUAUGGUAGUUGCAAUGAUAUUAUGGUUGGAAAUCUUAUUAGUUGUUGGAUUGAAAUUGUGUGUAUUUAACCUAUUAAGAGUUGAACAGAUUUUAAUGAUUUUACAAGUUGUUUAUGUAUAGGCAUUCAAAGUGAUAGGGUACAACCAUUUAAGUACCAAUCUUUAUGUAGAAUUUCGUGAUUUUUAAUAUACACUUGGGAAAUCCCUAGUUCUAGCUUGUACUAUAGUAACGGUGAAAACGAUAUUAUAUGUGUAAAUGGUGAUAAUCAGGUGAGGAAUUUUAAUCAUUUUGGGAAACUAAAUGAUUAGUCGCGUUAUCAAAAUGUUGUAGUGAUUUUUGUCUUCUUAUAUGGGAUAAUAAUAGAAACUAUAAUGGUGUAUAUUUAUACUAUAUGAUAAGAAAUUGUGAAAGACAAAUGAUGAUUUGUUGAUUGAUAGAUGACAAUGUGUUAUUGUGUAUUUUAGGCAUCAAGAAAAUUAACUGUAAUUCCAAUUAUUUUGAUUAUUUAUGAGUGGUUUGAUUAUAAGGAAUGUGAGAAAAAUAUGGAUGAACUUUAUUAUGAUUACUAAUUAUGGGAUUAUUUGUUGCUUAAAAAAUAGAAUUGAAUGGAUAUGUGCAUUUAGGUAUAUUUAUGUGGAAAAAAAAAAUUAGAGAAUGGUAAAAUCGAAAUUUGUUGAGAUUGGGAAAUUAACAUACGGUAUAUUGAUGUGUGAAAUGUUCACAUGAUAAAUAUGAAGGUUAUCAUCUUGUGAUAUUAAGGAAAAAUUGAUAUAAUUAAAUGUUUUAGGUCAUACGAUAUGACGAUAAUUAAAUGCCAAGGUUACAUGAUCAUAACAUGAUAUGGUGAAUAACAUGCAAAUGAAUAUAAUGGUUUCCGUAUAGCAAAUAAUGUGAUGAUAGAUUUGGGUUAUUAAGUUAAUUAAUUCUGUUAAGGCCAUUUGUUGGAUUAGUGUCAUAUUCCAUACAAUUUGGAAGCGUUGAGUUAAAUUUUGAAGUUAAGAUGAAUUUAAUGAAUUUUUAGUGAUGCAAUUUUUGGGUGAUUUUCAAUUGUAUUUUUGGAUUUCACGUAUAGAGUAUUCCAUUUUUAUUGAGAUCUAUUUGCUAUGGAAUAAAUGGAUGAUAUGUCGAAUAGUUUGAAGUUUAGGGUGAUCAUUGAAUGUAAAUUUUAUUCAAUUGUGGGACAGUAUCUUUGGGUUAUAAUCUUAGUUAAAGGUCUUUAUGCGAUAUACAAGAAAAAUUAUGUAGUGAGGAUAGAUCAACGACCCAUUUAUGGAAUAAGAGUAUAGAUUUUCAUGAUUUAAUAUUAUUAUUUUCUCUUCAUAGAAAGAAAGAACAAAAUUUAUAUGGGUAUAGAAACGCCAAAAGUUUUGCUAUUAAGAAAUUUUGAGGAAAUAUUUGCUCUCAUAUUUAAAGAUGAUGAGUGAUUAAUUCACGAUAAUGAUUUAUGGUAAUGGAUUAUGUUAUGGUUUAGAAAAUGUUCUCUAAGUGGAAUGAUAAAAUAUGGAUUAUGUUGUAGAUUGAUAAAGAGAUAUGAUUAAAUCAUGAUUUAUGGUUGGUUAUAUUGGGAUUGACAUUUUAGGAAUUGUAGCGUUAUCACAUGGUGGGAAGAUCAAUACUUACGAACACGUGAGGUUAAGGUAUAUUUAUAUUCAAAAAGGAGCUGAAUUUGAAGCUGUAUAUAUAUUAUCGUUAGGUGAUAAAAUGAAAAGUUAAAAAUAUCGCAUAUUUAUAUUAGGAUGACAUUUAAGGUAUCGGUUCAACAUAUAUUCCAUAUGUUCGAGGGUUAGUAAAUGGACGUCAAAUUUAACUAAUGCUAUAAGGUAAUCGGUGGAACUGGUUGAAAAUCUUACAUAUGAAGAAAAAUCAAUUCGAAUCUUGGAUAGGAAAUGAAUAGAUUUUGUGCAGAAAGUCUAUUCCGCUAGUUAAAGUUUGUUGGAUAAACAAAGAAAAAAGAAAAAAAAAGAGGCAUCAUGGGACAAGUAUUCAAAUAUAUGCUCUAUAUCUUUGUGUUCGAAUCAUAGUGGAUUUCGAGGACGAAAUUCUUUGAAGGAGGUAAGAUUGUUAUAACCCACUCACUCAUAGUCAAAGUCAAGAAAAUUAUUUAGUCAAAGUCUAAAAUUCAAUUGGUCAAAGUCAACGUCAAAUACGUAUUUAAAUGAAAUAAAUUAUUUUAUUGGGGGUUUAAUUUAUUAUGAAAAAUAGUUAAAGGUUUAAAAUGGAUAAAACUUAAUUUUAGGGAUCUAAUUAUAUAUUAUUGGAAGUCAAGGACUAGAUAUUAUAUUAAAUUGAAGAAUAAGGACUUCCUUUGCAAAAAUAAGUUAGUGGAGUCCAAUUGUCCACAUUUUAAUCCCUUUGCCUUGACUCUUCAUUUGCAUCCAU